rnacentral:rRNA from 1 species
UACGUAGGUGGCAAGCGUUAUCCGGAUUUACUGGGUGUAAAGGGCGUGUAGGCGGGUCUGCAAGUCAGAUGUGAAAUCUCCGGGCUUAACUCGGAAGGGUCAUCUGAAACUACGGAUCUUGAGUACUGGAGAGGAUAGUGGAAUUCCUAGUGUAGCGGUAAAAUGCGUAGAUAUUAGGAGGAACACCAGUGGCGAAGGCGGCUAUCUGGACAGUAACUGACGCUGAGGCGCGAAAGCGUGGGGAGCAAACAGGAUUAGAUACCCUGGUAGUCCACGCUGUAAACGAUGUCAACUAGCCGUUGGGGGACUUAAUCCUUUAGUGGCGAAGCUAACGCGAUAAGUUGACCGCCUGGGGAGUACGGCCGCAAGGUUAAA